rnacentral:rRNA from 1 species
GAUGAACGCUGGCGGCGUGCCUAACACAUGCAAGUCGAACGGAGAUGCGAUGUGAGCGAGAGGUGCUUGCACUGAACAAUCUUUUCGUAUCUUAGUGGCGGACGGGUGAGUAACGCGUGGGUAACCUGCCUUAUACCGGGGGAUAACACUUAGAAAUAGGUGCUAAUACCGCAUAAGCGCACGGCGUCGCAUGACACAGUGUGAAAAACUCCGGUGGUAUAAGAUGGACCCGCGUCUGAUUAGCCAGUUGGCAGGGUAACGGCCUACCAAAGCGACGAUCAGUAGCCGGCCUGAGAGGGUGAACGGCCACAUUGGGACUGAGACACGGCCCAAACUCCUACGGAAGGCAGCAGUGGGGAAUAUUGCACAAUGGGGGAAACCCUGAUGCAGCGACGCCGCGUGAGUGAAGAAGUAUUUCGGUAUGUAAAGCUCUAUCAGCAGGGAAGAAGAAAUGACGGUACCUGACUAAGAAGCCCCGGCUAACUACGUGCCAGCCGCCGCCGUAA